CUAAUAUCUUGCAACAGGGAUUUAGAAACUCUGGUUUUCCUGGUGCAUAUUACUAACGAUCAACUAUUUUGGCCUAUGUCCAAGCUCGCCAGAAAGAUAUAUACAUGACUUGGAAAAAUGAAUUGUUAUGUGUAGCUCAAUAAGUAUUUCUGAAACUGUAGAAUGGAAAGCUGUUUCGAGCACACGGAACUUAAUGAAA